rnacentral:rRNA from 1 species
UACCAGCACCCCGAGUGGUCGGGACGUUUAUUGGGCGUAAAGGGCGCGUAGGCGGCUCGGCACGUCCGUUGUGAAAUCGCCCGGCUCAACUGGGCGGGGUCGGCGGAUACGGCCGAGCUGGAGCAAGCUAGGGGGUAAUGGAAUUCCCGGUGUAGUGGUGGAAUGCGUAGAUAUCGGGAGGAACACCAGUGGCGAAGGCGGUUACCUGGAGCUUUGCUGACGCUGAUGCGCGAAAGCGUGGGGAGCGAUCCGG